rnacentral:ncRNA from 1 species
UGAUAGCUAUGAAGCGUGAGGUUGCUGCAGAUAGUUGCAGGUUUUCCGUGGAGCGAAUGUCAAGUUAGGAAACUGACGACAA